rnacentral:rRNA from 1 species
AUGGCGCUAACGUACGUCUGUUCCACGGGCAGGCCGUCGAAGACGGCCUUGUGCUGCUGGGUUCUACUCCUCCAGCCGGAGCCCAAAAGAACAAAGAACAGGGGCUCGUGGGGAAGUGAAGAGGAGGAACAGGAACAUGGGGAAGUGAAGAGAAGAGGAGAGAAGCAGGAACAUGCUUGGCUUUGGCGCCAUGGAUGGAAGAAGAACGACGCCGAGGCCGAGGCUAACGUCAACAACGGCCGAGGCCAAGAGUCCGUAGCCACACCACUACAGCUCCACACGGGUGCGAUGGAACCAGCCAACAACUCAAUGAGCAGGAGCAGCGCGGUUGCUGCGCAAUCGGAAGAUGUGUGGGUUGGCUGCAGCGGUAGCAGCAGAUGGGCGAACGUUAUGCGAUCCUCCUAUGGAGGACCAAUACAAGAUGUGUAUAGUGCACGACAUACCGCCACAUCUUCAUUGAUAAGCCCCUGGGCCUCGGCCCAGCUCAGCCAGCUGGCCCACCUAGCCCCCACUGGUCGCCUACUCCCCCUGUUCCCCUGGCGCGGUCGCAACAGGAGCGACGCCCCGCCGAACCACCUCGCCGGCGUCGGUGAGGGGAUAAGGCAGGCGCCCUCCUUGUGUUGGUUCAACCACAGUUAUGAAGAUCCGACGGCUGAGAUGGCGGAGCGAGAUGGACGGUCGAUGCAGCACCAAGCACUGCCUUUCUUCAGUUAUUGUCGCUGCCCUUUUACCUUUCUUUUCACCUCGCUUUCCAGCUUGGUGCUGGACUAUAAGGCGCCUGCAUGCGCAUCACUGAGAACCAUUCAAUCAUUAUGUCAUCGGUCCUCGGCGGCGCGGAGGCGGCGUGAGGAAAGGAGGCAAAUGGCGGCGGUAGACCAGUUCGGGCACAAGUCGACAGCUAGGUACGGUUGCCGGCGAGAUCCUCUCCUGGUAGUAAAAUCCCGUGACCAAGGUCGGCUCGUGUGCCUUCGGCGGCGAGGAGCGCUGGUGGCGGCAGGGAGCCGAGAUCUCGCGAGGGUUCCAAGGCUCGUCCUUGUGGUAGAAUUCCGGAGCCGGAUCUCGUUCCAUGGCGAAAUCGAAGGGCGAGGACAAGGGGAUGCCGCGGAAGUUGUAGAGAUGAAGCUGGACAUGGAGCAGCUAGACGGCAAGGUCGACGACCUCCAUACCGAGGUGGAGAGCAUGCGCACAGAGGUUACUGAUGUCAAGAAGCAGCUCACACGGCUGGAAGAAUUGAUGUUGCGGAUGGAGGAGAAGUUGGACACUUCCCCGCGUCCCAGAGUAACAACAGCAGAAGAGGCGAGACCAGGGCAGCAACAGCAGUGCCAAGUCCAACCACAACAGCAGCAACAACCGCCUCCCCAGCAGCCUGGCCAAGUUAACAGGACCCAGGCAAAUACAUCGCCUCUGUUGAACAGGGGGACACCAGUUUGGAGACGCCGAGGGCAGGAACAAGCGCUCAACUUUGGUUGGGCAGAAGAGCAGCGGCAACAAUACAUGGAUCAGCAACCAUACACACAAUAUCCCCAAGUCAAUUACGCCAUGCAAGGGCAGUAUAAUGACAAUCCUGAUUAUUCUCAAGCUCAACAGCAACAAAUAUACUACCCACCUGCAUAUCAGCAUCAGGAGUACUACCCAAAUCAGCGUCAUGUCCCACAACAUCAGUUUUACCCAAUCAUACCCCCACCACCCCCUCCUCCACACUAUUAUCCCCCUGAACAAGUCCCAUAUGAAUACCACCAUUACUAUCCACCAGAGCCACAGUACAUGCAAGCCCCCCCUCCACAAAACAGAGAGCAACACCAGUUCCAGCAAAACCCAGAGCAAGUCAGGCACUUUGACAGACACUAUGACAAUAACAGAGGUCAAGACAGAGAUGCCCACUUCUACAGAUCAAUUGCCAAAGCUCCUAGAAUAGAAUUCCCUAGAUUUGAUGGUACAAAUCCAAUGGAAUGGCUUCGGAUGACAGAGAAAUUUUUUCUAUGGUCCAUGUACCAGAAGAAGCAAAAUGGGACUAUGCCCAGAUGUAUCUCACUGUUCUGUGCAGCAGUCCUUAAACGAUUUUCUGGAGAUAGCUCUUAUGAGAUAGUGGAAAAUUUCAACUCCUUCAAACAGGGAGCUGAUUCAGUUGCUGCCUAUACUGAUAAAUUCGAGGAAAGAAUGGCUGCAUACAAAAAAGAGAAUCCUGGAGCUGCUGAAGGAUACUAUGUCAAGUGCUACAUCAAUGGGUUAAGACCUGAAAUCAAACACUACCUGGAGCCCUUUAAACCAAUUACACUGUAUGAUGCAGUAGAAAAUGCCAGGGACAUGGAAAUGGGAGUUCAAGCCCAAGCAAACCAGAAAAGAUAUACACCCAAUAGUGGGUAUGCGAAGACAAACAGCUCUGCUCAUUUUCCCAAUAAAUAUAAGCAAAAUGAGACACCACAGAGGAGGGAAGGAGAGGACAAGACAACUAAACCUGAACAGAAAUUCAGAGAGCCUGGCACUUGCAGAUAUUAUGGAGGCAAGUGGUUCUUUGGCCACAAAUGCGCACAAUAUAAGACACUUAACCUCAUGGCCACUGAAGAGCAUACUGAAGAGUCACCUGAUGAAAUGUUGCAAGGACAUGACCAAUCUGAAGACAACACCGCACCAGCAACUACUCCAACUGAAGAUGAACAAUGCAUGCACAUUUCCUCUCAAGCUGUAGGAAAAAAGAAGACUUCUGCCACAUUCUCCCUUAAAGUCAACAUUGGGGGCAAAUGUGGAAUAGCCUUGGUGGACUCAGGCAGCUCUCACACAUUCAUAGACAUGAAUUUCACAGUGAAAACUACUUGUCAUACUGUCAGCAACCCCUUGGAAAUAGUACAAGUAGCAGGAGGAGAAAAACCUGAAAUUGCACAACCUUGCAAGGAGAUAGAAGACCUCUUAACCGAGUACAAGGAUGUUUUCCAAGAUCCUAAAGGCAUGCCACCUCCUAGAGAAUGUGAUCAUGCCAUUCCGCUAAAAUUAUAUGCAGUGUGUCGGUUCAGCCACAGUUAUGAAGAUCCGACGGCUGAGAUGGCGGAGCGAGAUGGACGGUCGAUGCAACACCAAGCACUGCCUUUCUUCAGUUAUUGCGGCUGCCCUUUUACCUUUCUUUUCACCUCGCUUUCCAGCUCGGUGCUGGACUAUAAGGCGCCUGCGUGCGCAUCACUGAGAACCAUUCAAUCAUUGUAUCCCCAAACUAUCAAACCCUAG